GACAGAGGAUGCAAGCGUUAUCCGGAAUGAUUGGGCGUAAAGCGUCUGUAGGUGGCUUUCAAGUCCGCCGUCAAAUCCCAGGGCUCAACCCUGGACAGGCGGUGGAAACUACCAAGCUGGAGUACGGUAGGGGCAGAGGGAAUUUCCGGUGGAGCGGUGAAAUGCAUUGAGACGGAAAGAACACCAACGGCGAAAGCAGCUCUAGCGGGCCGACACUGGACACGAGAGACGAAAGCAGGGGAGCAAAUGGGAUU
rnacentral:rRNA from 1 species